rnacentral:rRNA from 1 species
UACAGAGGUGGCAAGCGUUGUUCGGAUUUAUUGGGCGUAAAGGGUCCGUAGGCGGCCUAGAAAGUCGGAUGUGAAAGCCCACAGCUUAACUGUGGAAUGGCAUUCGAAACUGUCGGGCUCGAGUGUGAAAGGGGUGAAGGGAAUUCCCGGUGUAAGGGUGAAAUCUGCAGAGAUCGGGAAGAACACCAGUCGCGAAGGCGCUUCACUGGUUCACAACUGACGCUGAGGGACGAAAGCUAGGGGAGCAAACGGG